AGGAGCUUGCUCCUUUGACGUUAGCGGCGGACGGGUGAGUAACACGUGGGCAACCUACCCUAUAGUUUGGGAUAACUCCGGGAAACCGGGGCUAAUACCGAAUAAUCUCUUUUGCUUCAUGGUAAAAGACUGAAAGACGGUUUCGGCUGUCGCUAUAGGAUGGGCCCGCGGCGCAUUAGCUAGUUGGUGAGGUAACGGCUCACCAAGGCGACGAUGCGUAGCCGACCUGAGAGGGUGAUCGGCCACACUGGGACUGAGACACGGCCCAGACUCCUACGGGAGGCAGCAGUAGGGAAUCUUCCACAAUGGGCGAAAGCCUGAUGGAGCAACGCCGCGUGAGUGAAGAAGGUUUUCGGAUCGUAAAACUCUGUUGUAAGGGAAGAACAAGUACAGUAGUAACUGGCUGUACCUUGACGGUACCUUAUUAGAAAGCCACGGCUAACUACGUGCCAGCAGCCGCGGUAAUACGUAGGUGGCAAGCGUUGUCCGGAAUUAUUGGGCGUAAAGCGCGCGCAGGCGGUCCCUUUAAGUCUGAUGUGAAAAGCCCACGGCUCAACCCGUGGAGGGUCAUU
rnacentral:rRNA from 1 species